AUGAGGCUGGGCUUGAAUUGGUCAAUUCCUCUCCCUAUCAGUGACAUUUUUGUUGUCAUGCACAGAAAGGUAUUCCUGCUGACUGUUAAACUUGAAGCAAAACAAAGCAGAAAAAGCUGGUCAUCGGCCAAACACUGUAAUGAGGACAGGAACAGUAGGGUAAUGUCUACCACCAACAGGCAGGGGCACAAGGAUUGGACCCAUUGGUCUACCGGAAUAAUGGAAAUUAUUGUUGGAGUAACUGUCAACACGGCACAUGGCUACGGGAAAUUUGGAUUUUGUAUGGAGAUGUAUAGUCUAUGA
rnacentral:rRNA from 1 species